rnacentral:rRNA from 1 species
AGAGUUUGAUCCUGGCUCAGGAUGAACGCUAGCUACAGGCUUAACACAUGCAAGUCGAGGGGAAACGACAUCGAAAGCUUGCUUUUGAUGGGCGUCGACCGGCGCACGGGUGAGUAACGCGUAUCCAACCUGCCCAUCACUUGGGGAUAACCUUGCGAAAGUAAGACUAAUACCCAAUGAUAUCUCUAGAAGGCAUCUGAAAGAGAUUAAAGAUUUAUCGGUGAUGGAUGGGGGAUGGCGUCUGAUUAGCUUGUUGGCGGGGUAACGGCCACCAAGCAACGAUCAGUAGGGGUUCUGGAGAGGAAGGUCCCCCACAUUGGAACUGAGACACGGUCCAAACUCAUACGGGAGGCA